CAGCAGCCACGGUAAUACGUAGGGUGCGAGCGUUAAUCGGAAUUACUGGGCGUAAAGCGUGCGCAGGCGGUUUUGCAAGACAGGCGUGAAAUCCCCAGGCUCAACCUGGGAAUGGCGCUUGUGACUGCAAAGCUAGAGUGCGGCAGAGGGGGAUGGAAUUCCGCGUGUAGCAGUGAAGUGCGUAGAUAUGCGGAGGAACACCGAUGGCGAAGGCAAUCCCCUGGGCCUGCACUGACGCUCAUGCACGAAAGCGUGGGGAGCAAACAGGAUUAGAUACCCCUGUAGUCCCUGUCUCUUAUAC
rnacentral:rRNA from 1 species